GAUGAACGCUGGUGGCGUGCUUAACACAUGCCAGUCGAACGGUGAAGGCGGAGCUUGCUCUGCUGGAUCAGUGGCGAACGGGUGAGUAACACGUGAGCAAUCUGCCCCUGACUCUGGGAUAAGCGCUGGAAACGGCGUCUAAUACUGGAUACGAGCUGCGAAGGCAUCUUCAGCAGCUGGAAAGAAUUUCGGUCAGGGAUGAGCUCGCGGCCUAUCAGCUUGUUGGUGAGGUAAUGGCUCACCAAGGCGUCGACGGGUAGCCGGCCUGAGAGGGUGACCGGCCACACUGGGACUGAGACACGGCCCAGACUCCUACGGGAGGCAGCAGUGGGGAAUAUUGCACAAUGGGCGAAAGCCUGAUGCAGCAACGCCGCGUGAGGGACGACGGCCUUCGGGUUGUAAACCUCUUUUAGCAGGGAAGAAGCGAAAGUGACGGUACCUGCAGAAAAAGCGCCGGCUAACUACGUG
rnacentral:rRNA from 1 species